rnacentral:lncRNA from 1 species
GUCCUACAUCCGGGUGCUGAGCGCCUCCUGGGGCAGGGGGCCGCCCUUCCUCCUGCAGGGCCCUGCAGCACCGACAGGACCCUGCUGCGGGGUCCCUGCUGGGCUAGGCGAGCCUGAGCGCUUCCGCAGCCUCAUCUGGAGAGAACGAGUAAAAAUAUUUCCCCGCGGGAUCCUGAGAUCAGCAGCACGGGACGACGGCGCCCCCUGGCGGCAGGUCGGAUCUCCGUAUGCUCUAGGCCUGGCCGGGCAGGCGGGCGGCGUGGGCCUCGCAGCGACGUGUUGGAAGGAACGCUGCUUCCAGGGUCAGGAGCCUGGGCGGGAAGCGCUAAGAUUGGUAGCUGUCAUCCCAGUACUCAGGAGGCCAAGGCAGGAGGAUGGAUGCAAAUUUAAGGCCAGUGCUAUGUAGCAGGUUCAAGGCCAGCCUGAACGACACAGCGAGACCCUGUUUCAAAACAAAAGCAAAAACAGAAACAGAUUUGGGACUGGCAGUUCCCAAGCCCUGGCCCUUCCUGUAGGAGGGGCUGGAGGAGGCUGGGAGGCUGGCGCAGGUGACCUGCUCCCCUGGGUCCUGCCUGUUCCUGCAGCAGAAGCGGUUCACAGGAUUCCCACACCGGAAGAGCCAACUUCAUCACCCCUACCUAGAAAGUUUGGUGGCUGCCACAUCCCAAGGGAGAAGGCCAGGGAGGAGAAAGUGACAGUGGCAGCCCCUCUAGCACACAGCUCCCAUGCCUAUGACCCUGCGGUCUGCACCUCUUCUGGCCUGACUUGCCGCCCCCCACCCCCACCCCAUGACCCCAGGAGGAGGCCUGGGGCCUGGCCCAGUGUGAGCAGGGCUGGGCCAGCUGGGCAGACAGAGGAGAGGAACUCAGGUUGGAGACACCAGGCCUGGAGAGACCUUCUGUUGCCCACUCGUGUCUCCCCACUGAUUAAACCUCUUCUCGGAGUGUUCAGGGGAACCCAAGAAAGGGAAGGAAAGACAAGGGGCCCAGCCCUGGCUGAGGACCGCCAUGCGGCAGGACAGCACGGGGACCCUGCAGGUCCGUGUGCCCUCAGGGCCCGCCAGCCGCUCCUGUGGGCUCUCGGGUGGGAGCAGGCAGCCGCAGGCAGGAUCGAGACAGCCCCUGCUGUCCUUCAUGUUCGUUUUGUGUUCAGGGAAACCCCAUGGCAUUCUGGUUCCUGUUUUGAUGGUUUUUAGAGCUUUUCUGAGGCACAGCUGAUACAGUCGCACUGCUUUUCAGUGUGGACCCUGGUGACUCAGUUCCCACACUCACAGGACUGAACUUAUGGAUCACCUCCAAGAAUUUCCCCGCAUAUGUGCGCGCGCAUGUGUGUGUGUACCCAUGCGUGUUUCCGUGUAAGAACACAACAGAUUUUAAACCGUUUAAAGGGGCACAGCCCUGUUGUCACCAACAGGCCCCAUGUUGUGCUGCUGCAGAUUUCUCCACCUCCCCAACUCCCGGCAGCCCCUGUCCUCGCCCCUGCCUCUGUGUGACCGACUCUUGGAUCCCCGUACAAGUGGCAUCGUGCGGUAAUUUAAUUGUCCUCUGCAUCUGGCUCAUGUCACUGAGCGGAAGGACCUCUAGGUUUUCCACUUUGUUGCGGUUGGCAGGAUCCCUUCUUUUUUAGGGAACGAUGCCCCCUUGUAUGUAUGCACCGCGCUUUCUUUAUCCAUUCAUCUGCUGCUGGACACGUGGGUCACGUCCAUAUCUUGCUUAUUGUGAAUAUGGAAAAAUACAGUUUCAGUACACGAAGACACACUGCAAUGUACUCUGUUGACAGAAGGGAUAGCUGUGGCCGGGGAUUUAGCUCAGUGGUUUCGCCGCCUGCUGCGCAAGCACAAGGACCCAAGUCCUGCCCGAGGACCCCUCUUCCACCGCCCCAGCUUCAGCGGGGGGGUCCUGUCCCCUCCC